UAAAUAAUUUAGUUUCUUUGUGUGUUUGCGUUGAGCAUAUUUAAUUUGUAGUUUGUAUAUUUAAUAACACCUUGUUGCGUGUCGUUCUAUGAUUUUAAUAAAUGUGUUAUCAUUUCAUUUUUAUUACUACUAACAUGAUUUUUUAGUGAUCAAUGAUAAUUUAUUUCUAACGUUAUGUAUUAUAUUUUAUCGUAUAUUUUCUAACUCUUCGUGCUGGCACUUUUUUUAGAAUCAUUUUCUACUAACAUGAUUUUCUUGUGUUGUUAAUGUGGAAAACGCAUUUAUAUAUGGAUUGGAAUAGCGUUUCCAGUUAUUUAUGUUGUAAAGAUGUAAAUAAAACUGUGUAUGUUGUAAAUUUCGACUUUUUAGUGUAACUGAGCACUAAAGAAAAAAAAUUCUUGAUAAUGACAUUAAAAAGAAAAAAUUUGAACCCUUAAAGGUAAGAAGUGAGACGUGGUCUUUGAGACUUGGAUUAAGAAGAAGAAGAACACCGGCAGAGUCUUAGCGGCACAAGGAACACCGGCGACGGCAAGCUCUUAGAAGCCAAUGACUUGAAAUCGACUUGUUCUCUAUCGCCAAAAAAGGAGCCGAAAUUAGGGUUCUUAGUCUCCCCGAUUUAGGAAAUAAUCAAUUAACCCCUUUUUUUAACCACAUCCGCUUUUGUUUAUUUACUUUUUUUUUGUUUUUUAAAUUUAAAUUUUUUCAAACAAUUAAAUUUAUAAAAAAAACGUACUAAGAUUAGAUUAAGGGUUUAAUUGGGUUUUCAUAAAACAUUAUACUAAGUGGACAACUUAUAAUUCAUAUUAUGGCAUAGGGACAAUCUAUUUGUUUUUUUUUGUUCCAUAUUUACAAUUUUGCCUUUCAUUAUGAUGUGUAUCCAAAAUAUAAUUAUUGCCAAAUAUCUUUUGCACUUUCAACCCAAAUUUCCAAAAUUAUUAUUCAUUACAUUUUAUAUAAAUGGAUUUUUGAAAUGUAUAAUUAUUUUUUUAUCAAUAAAUAAUAAAUAAAAUAAUUUUUUAUUGUUUUCAGAUUUAGUUUUUUAUUUUUUUAGAAAAAAAUAUAUGUUUUAAAUUUUAGAUAGCUUUCAAAUUAUAUGCUAUAAAAAAAUCGAAAUUCUUUUUCAAAUUUAAAAUAAAAAUAGUUUCAAUUUGAAAAAUAUAAAGAAACAAAUUCAAAAUAAUUCGAAAAAAUAUUCAUGAAGUAGCAAUUUACAAAAGUUUGAUCAAAUUUUGUAAGUUAGUGUAUAUAUAUUUUCUUAUCCAAGUAACUUUUAAAGUUCACAAACUCUACACAAUUUUAUCUUCCAAUAACCCCCAUCUUUAUAGUAGGCUUCUUAUUCACUCUAAUCAUGUUUUCUUGCUUACUUACACCUAAUCCAUACCUCUAGUCUCUAGACCAAUCUUUACACCCACAACUUAACUAUUCCAACAACUCCUUAACAAACAAUAACUCUUACUAACGACUUGUUAUGAUCUGGUUCACGUUCAUCAUCUUCAGCUUUGACUUUGGAUUGAUUUGAAACUUCUUCUUCUUCUUGCCUUUUAGUUUUUCUUCUUCUCACUGACUUCCAUUCUUUCAUUUGCAGGUUUUACUCAAUGAAUCACUUCUCAACACAAAGUAGUAAGUGAAGCAAAGUGUGAUCACUACCUCGUUCAUUGCAACCAUAGGUGUCUCAUAAGAAGAGGUUUCGUCCGCCGCGGAGUAUUUGUUUGCGAAGAUUAAGAAUCACAACUUGUUUUCAACAGAAACUAAGCAGUACCCAUUGUUGAACGGCUUAAGAUAUGCUCAGUUAAAUAUACUUCGUUUCAGAUUCAUCGAAACACACCUUUGACUAAUGUGGCUUUUAACGUAGAGAAGAUGUCAUGUACUGAUGUAAAUUUUUUAGAUCGUGUGAUAGUUAUCAGGAUCAAAUCGUAUUGGUAUGAAUCGCAUAGACAUCUUUAGAAUAAUCUAACCUAUACUAAAAGGGUUAUAUGAGCAUCAGAGAGUGUGUCCACGUAGGAUAAUUAAAUCAUCCAAUCAGAGAACAGCUCUCCGCCACGUCAGAUACGCAUGACAAAUUCUAAUUUUCCCAAAAUCGAAUCUCGAUCCCUUUCUCUUCGUCUUCUCCGUCUGCUAUUUUAGAUCGAAACCGACUUGCUCGACUGGUCUUGCAGCGACGAAUCACCUGCGAGGCAUAGUCUUAUCUUCCGCGGUUUGAUCCCUGUGCUGUACGCAGGGUCGGCAAGAGCCUCGCACGAUGAAUCGACAGAAGAAGCUAUCGAGUUUGCGACUCAGCAGGGGAAAGAGAAGGAGCUGUGCAAGACUGUAGACUCCGUUGUUGCUCUACUCCGAGUUGGGAACGCUUCCCUAAUCAAGAUCUUGACCAUUAAGUGAUGAUGAUUAGGAAAAAUCCCGUUUUUGGCGUCUGGCGUUUGGAGGAAACACAACUAUAUACGUUUUUCUUAAUAUGAAUUUUAUUCAAGAUUUGUGAUUAAAAUCUUGAGAUAGAAAACUCAAAUUCUCUUUCUUGAUAAUUACAACUGUGGUGACCCGUGUGAAUCCACUUACAGUUUUUUUUUUUUUUUUGGAUACUCAGGUGGUUGUAUGGAACUAAUGAAUCGUACACGUAUCUCUACUAUCAUGAUUUUUUUUUGUUUUAUUUUUUUUGUUUUGGUGAAGUUUGAUGCUUUGGUUGCAGCCCUUCCGUUAUCAGACUGAGGUGAAGAACUCAGUUGAAAAGAAUUGCUGAACUCCUGGUAAUAUAUGUCUCACUCACUGAUAAAUUGAGCUCGAUAAAUAAAUCAUUGCAUGUUCCCUUCUAUGCUAUUUUUCUUCAGGUGGAAAAUGAUGUUAUUGGCCAAGAGCUCUCUAACGAUUUACAUCUAUUCUGAUCCAACUGCUGCGGAACGUUUGUAUCGAAGAAAGAUGUCAUGUAGAAAAAGGUAUGUUAAACAGUUUACUCUCUCCUUAUAUUCUAAACUAAAACCUCGGAAUAUAAUUUUAGUUGUUUAUCUUUGUUUUAUUUCAGUCAUCAGCUGGGCAAGCACAAGGUUUAACAACCACUAAACCACUCAGUUGAGACAGUAGGAUCUCUUUCGUGUUGAUCAUACAAGGUCUGUUGCUAGGCUGAGAUUUUUAUAUUUUUCUGUGAGAAUAAAUGGAGUAUGAAAAAAAAUUAACCAAUCCCUAACACUUAUAACAAACUUCACUAUCUCCCUCUCUAUUCGUUACCAACUCAAAUCACUUUUACCAUGUCAUUGAAGCUUGCGAUAUAGAGCUAGAAGACAAACCAGAGAAGUAGUGGUGCUGAAAACAGAGAGGUAGAGCUAGAGAGAAUUACGAGGCUGAAGCAUGUAGAGGCAGACAUAUCCCCAGCUAAAAGUUAACGAUGCAAAGCGGAGGCUGAUUGGUCGAUUAUUAAGGACAUGGACAAUAUUCAAACGCUGGAUGCAAAAUUGUUUUCAGUAUUUUAUUUGCUAACGCCACCGUAUGUGCAGGUUGCAGAGUUUAAAUGCCUACUCGGUGUUAAAGCUAAUACCAAAGAAUGAAUACUAUGACAAAACUCUCCAGCUUCCAAAAUAAUUUGAUGCUACAACCGCUUGGUGACAGUGCACCAGUGUUGGAAGGAUCCUAGGUGCUUUUUUAUACAACUAAAUAAAUGUCUAAUACCAACCCGAGGAAGCUGUACAUUGACAAUGUUGAUGAUGAAACGGAAGAUUCCGAGGACGAUUUAGAUGAGAACUUUCAUGGGGAUGACAUGCCUGCAUCCCACUGCAAUGUCGACGAGUUUGACUAGAAAAAAAAUUAUCAUUAUUUUUUAUAUCUCUGUUCAGGGGAAGAGAAAGAUUUGGCUCAACAGAUGCCGCCAAUAUAUUUUUUUAUCCUUCUUUUCGCUUCGGUACUUCCACAACACAUAUUCUAUAAUUGUUAGUUUGUUUUUCUCUCCUCAGGUCUCAUUCAUCUUCUGUCUAUUUGGAAAUUAAACUUACUGAAGAAGUUGCAAGGGAUAAGCAAAGUUGCUUCUUCUUCAGGAAACAAGUAAGCAUCACCUCCUCUCUGAGAAAUGUUUCAUUGUUUCUUCGACUUUGGAUCAAUUUUCCGGAGGUUUUAACACUUUCACUGAAUUUUUUUAAGGUUAGGUUGCAAGAAACACUGACACCAAAGAAGUUGCUUAUUCUAGCUCUUCAGGAAGCUGAGAGAAAUGGAAAUAGCAUAUAUAUUAUCUGCCUUAUCCGUGAGUACACUUUUGGCUUCCACUCACACUUUAAUUAGUGUUCCAGAAUUAGUUUGGGGCUUUAUGUUAACUGCUAUUGGUUACAGGUGUGGAGGAUUCAGAGGAUGAGGACCAUACUUCUCAGGUAGGUUCUUACAUUACUACUUAACAAUUUUUUUACCUUAGAGCUGAGAACCUUUUUUUAACAAUAUGAACCUUUGUGCCCACGUAUGUAGAAAAAAUACUGUCCAACCCCUUCUUUUGUUUAGUCAUGUGUUCUCCAAAGUACAAAGUUGUGAAAAGACGUUCCCAUUAUCGAGGAGAUACGUCAUACAUGUUCCAUCUAUCUAUUAUGCUUCCCUCUGGUAUUAGUUGUUUUGUUUCUAUGAUCAGGUGGCUAAUCGUUGAUGCUUUUUGAUCAGGUGGCUAAGCGUUGAUGCUUUUUGAUCAGGUGGCUAAGCAUUGAUGCUCACUGCAGGUUUCAACUGAAUCACUUUGGUUUACUCCAAAAGAGAGGUAUUAGCAUAUAACUACUAUACACUGUGCUCUUUGGUGUCUGAAGGAAAGAAAUCUGCUCUCAGGUAUAUAUUUAAAUAUAUGGUUUCCGUUGCAAUUUAAAAUUGGAUUCAUAUAGUUUUAAGCACACAACACAUAUGCUAAUUUGAAGGUUCAUCGCAAUGGAACUCUAUAAUGUCUGAGAGGUCCUCUAUAGUUCCAUCAUCAGGCUUCCCAAGUUUAAUCUUUCUCCAAGUUUCCAUAUGGCGGAAGGGAUGUAACACUUCUGAAGUCAUUUGAGUUCCAAGACCUAUAAUCAUGUGGUCAGUUUUUACCGUUUCAAGUUUCAACAGUGGUCACUCCACUUUGGGUCAGCUUGCAUUCAGUUACAUGCCAGUUAAGUUCAAGUUUCUUCGUGCAAGAGCGUGCACCCGAACAUCACCUCUCAAUUUAGCUAUAGAGAUUCUGAAAUGGAGUGAGGAGAGAACAAACAUAUGUGUUAUGUAUACUCUAUGUCCAGUACUUAUCAAGUUCUUCUCAAAUCAGUGUAUUCACAUUAAAAACAAGUCUAAUGUUUGAGAUUCAGUUCAGCGCAUUCGUUCACCACUAUCUGGAGUAUAGAUUCUUACACAUUGAUCUUAAUGGUUAGAGAUUCAGUUCAGCGCAUUCAUUUCUUUUUUGAACUUGACCAUUGCAGCUCUUCGCAACUAAACCAUGACUUGAACCCUUCUAACCAUCGACUGUUCUCUUUUUUUUUUUGUGACUAAUCGACUGUUCUAUAAUGAACGCUGACAUUAACAUUUUAACAAUCUGUGAAACAAAACAACUCAUCCUUCGUAAGUAAUCCUGUUGAGCAGCAUGCAUCAUGAACUAAUAAAAUGUUUUUUCUUUUGUGCAACAUUAGUUAUCUACUUAAUUAACUUCAUUUGGUAACUAAAUGUCUUUUUAAAAAAAAAAAAAUUCUCUCGCAAGUUAUCAUGUAAAUACCAUACGUUUUGAACCAAGUGUUGUCCAAGGUUGAGUCCUCACAAAAAGAGUACGAAAUAUAAGGAAACCAUAAGAGAAGACAACCUAAUACCACAUUAAACAACAACAUGUCAACGUUUUUCAUUUAUGUUCACAAAAAAAUAAAAAAAGUUUAAAAAUCACAAAAAUGUAUGAAGUUUAACAAAAACAAUAAAAACUAAAGUUAAUUAGAAGUAAGAAAAAAAACUAAUAAUGACAGAAAUUUUACGGAAAUAAAAAUCAAUGAAGUUAUAUCGAAUUAGAAUGUGAUAUUAAUUCAAAACAAUAAAUGUUUUUACUAAAAAUGAAAAUAUGAAAAUAUGAAAAUAUUGGUUUUGGAUCAUUAUUUUGGACCGAAAAUAUAUUCUAAAUUCCCCUAAACAAUUAAAUAGAUGCAUUAAUCCUUAAUAUUGUAAUCAAGCAUAUAAGAAAAAACAUUACGUUAGAACGUAUAUAAACAUUACAAAAGAUAAAAGAUAGUAUCUGUAAAAUUAAAUAGUAUUUAGUGGUAAAAGUAAAAUAAAUUUAGAAUAUCUAGAUUAUAUUUUUACACUGAUUUUAAUCAAUGAAUAAUAUUUUAACUAUAGUUAGAUUGUCAAAUAUUAUUCUGUUUAUAAUAAAAAUAUAAUAUAUUAAAUAAUAAUAAUUUUGUAGAAGUUUUAGUUAAUUUAACUCAUACAACAUUUUUUUGCAAAAAUUGUUUUAAUUUUUUGUAUGAAAAUUGUUUUUUAAGUUAAAAAAAUACCAUUUAGUUUAUUUAAAACAAUGAAUAUAUAAAUUAGGUAUACUUAUUAUCAAACAAGUAAUAAAAAGAGGAUAUAAGCUUUAGAUAGAGUGUCCAUGUAGGCGAACAUAAUCGGCUAAUGAGAAACUACAUUUUUGCCAUGUCACUUCCUCUAUUUGUUUUACAAAAUGAUUCUUUAAUUUUUUACUUACAAAAUUAUAAUCAAAAUUAUUUUUUUAGUGAAAAUAUAUUAUUUACAUAAAUAUAAUUAUAUUUUUAUUUACAUAAUAGUUUGUAACUAAAUAUUUAGUGUAAAUAAUAUUAUAAUUUUAUAAAAUACUAAAAUAAAUUGGGUUGGUUUUCAAAUUUCACAAAUAAAAAGUAUUAUUUGUAAACUUAGAAAAGAAUAUUGAAUAUUCUUUUCAGGAGAGAAAAUAGAAAAAUACAUCGGAGACAAAUCCAUAUCUAUUACGAAA